CAAUAUUUCUACAAAGCAAAUC
rnacentral:miRNA from 12 species